GGCAAAGGAGCAACUGAGGAGACAGCCCUGCCAGUCCAGGUCCACAAGGCGGUGGACUGUCCUCAGCAGCUGGCCGACCUGCAAAGACAGAGACAGGUGGAGAUGGUGAAGAGGUAACAGUGCUAGGGUGUAGCUACUGAUCCUAUACUACAGCAGAGAGCAGGAGAAAGAGGGAGGAGGGAUGAGGGACAUCAGGUGUCAGAGCACCGCAACCCCAGUUGAGGCUACAUCGCCACGACAGCUGGCUCCGGCCGU